UACGUAGGGCGCAAGCGUUAUCCGGAAUUAUUGGGCGUAAAGAGCUCGUAGGCGGUUUGUCGCGUCUGCUGUGAAAACUCGGGGCUUAACCCCGGGCCUGCAGUGGGUACGGGCAGACUAGAGUGCGGUAGGGGAGACUGGAAUUCCUGGUGUAGCGGUGAAAUGCGCAGAUAUCAGGAGGAACACCGAUGGCGAAGGCAGGUCUCUGGGCCGAUACUGACGCUGAGGAGCGAAAGUGUGGGGAGGCGAACAGG
rnacentral:rRNA from 1 species